rnacentral:rRNA from 1 species
UACCAGCACCCCGAGUGGUCGGGACGAUUAUUGGGCCUAAAGCAUCCGUAGCCGGUUUUACAAGUCCUCCGUUAAAUCCAGCUGCUUAACAGAUGGGCUGCGGAGGAUACUAUAAGACUGGGAGGCAGGAGAGGCAAGCGGUACUCAGUGGGUAGGGGUAAAAUCCGUUGAUCCAUUGAAGACCACCAGUGGCGAAGGCGGCUUGCCAGAAUGCGCUCGACGGUGAGGGAUGAAAGCUGGGGGAGCAAACCGG